GGUGGGUUUUUUUUUUAAAGCCGUCAAUUAAAAUGAUGUCUCCUUGCUCCCUUCCCCCAUCAACUCAUGGACAAGAUGGAGACUAUCAGACACAAUGAAGAGAUGCUGAGGACAGCUCUGAUAUCUAAUCAUAAGGAUGUAAUUGAACUGUAUCAGAAAUUCAAUCCAAGGGAGAAACAGCUCCUAGAAGAAGCAUUUCGGCCAGAUGCCACCCUUUUCAAACCCAUUGAGUUGCAUUUGAAGUCUGACUGGAUCCUCAGCCACCCGGAACCAAAGCAAGAUUUCUAUGCGUUUUACAUCAGCCCACAUAGAAAAACACCAGUUCCUGGGAAAAACAUUAUUUACAUUCAGACCAUUGGUUCAUUUGGCGUUUCAGAGGCAACUACUGAGAGAUAUAUACACUGGUUAAAGGAAUACUGUGAAGCAUUUUUCUAUGGUCUGAAGAUCAAAUUCUUGGAUCCCGUUUCAGUAUCCCAAAUCGGUUGUGUGUUCCGUAUCAAUACAUAUUCACACAAUCUGCAGAUACAUUCAGGUAGUAUUCUUAAGUACCUGAAGAAGAAAAAGCCUAAAGAUGCUUUCUGUAUUGUUGGAAUUACAAUGAUUGACCUUUAUCCAGAAGAUUCCUGGAAUUUUGUGUUUGGACAAGCAUCUCUUACAGAAGGGAUGGGUGUUUUUAGCUUUGCUCGAUAUGAUGAUGAUUUUUACACCAUGAACUACAAAGGAAAACUGAAGAGAAAAAAACAUCUAGCUCCAGACGAUUAUUCAGUCUUUGAUGGAUACUACACACCACCUAUUACAAGCAAGCUGCUGCUAAGAUCCUGUAAGACUUUAACUCAUGAAAUUGGACACAUUUUCGGCAUGCAUCACUGCCAAUGGUUACAAUGUGUAAUGCAAGGUUCCAACCAUUUAGAGGAGUCUGACCGACGGCCAAUUGAUCUUUGCCCUAUUUGCCUAAGAAAACUGCAGUGUGCCAUUAACUUUGACAUUAAGGAGAGAUAUAAGGCCUUAUUGAGGUGGAUUGAAGAAGAUUCUGAUCCUGAAUUUUUAGUUAGAGCUAUGCUGGUAUCUCGCAAACCUAUGGAAGCAUUCAAAGAAUGGAAAGAACGGUUGCUGCAGUGUCUGCACCUUUUGGAGGAGUGAAUUUUAAUAAAUGUGAAUCUCUGAAGACAAUGGUCAGGAAGCCCCAAGAGUAAUGUAAAUGGCGAGGCCCAUUUAGCAUCAAAGGCAGUUUAUGAGAUUGAAGAUUGAGCCAGUGUCAGCAGCGACCUUAAGCCUCACAGACCAGGAGCUCUGGCCCAGGUGGGACACCCGGCCCCAUCCACACUGCUUCUACUGGAAAUUUGGUACCAUCACCUACAAGACUGAUUCCUCUCUGCGUAUCCAUCCCAUCAUGUGAAGUUAACACUCUGGAAAAGUGAAUUAUCCAGCAUCAGUUUUCAGAUCCCUGACCUCCAUACAAGAAUAUCUCAUUGGACUUUGUUUCUAGACUCCAGAACCCACGUGAAACAAUAUUUCUUUGCUCUGAGGUCUCUGCACUGUAAAUCUUUCUUUUCUCUAUCCAUCUUUUACUGUACAAAUGCAAAGAAGGCAACGUUGCCACCCUCCUUCUGCAUUUUGUGUCUGUAUAAAUAAACUAACCCUUUUGAGUUCAUCCUAUCUUGAGUUUGCUGUGGGGUUAUUAAUAGAAAAUUGGAUCACACCAAAACCAAGGGGUUGGGAAAUACACCACCACUUAUAAAAGGAGGAGGCAAAUCACAACAUCUUACAGAUGGAUGGUGAGAGGAGAAAUUAGUGCUGUUUAAAUUAACCCCCCUCCUGUCCGUAACAGACCACAGCAAAAGGAAGAACCCUGCCUAGAAAUUCAUCUGCUGACAGAGAAGUGGAGCUAGUUCAUUUCACCUGCAGAAUUAUAUCUUCACUACUAAAGUUCAGCCACAACUUUUACUGGAAAAGCUGUAAAUCUGCAAUUGUAUGGAGUAUACCUUUAUGAGUUUGUCAUCUGAAAACUUCAACCUCCAUUUGUUCUUCAGUGAGCCAAAAGAGAAUUCACAGGUCUGUAAAGCUUGCAGCUACAAUCUUGAAGAACUAGAGUAAUGGUGAUUUCUCAGAUCUUUCUAAAGAUAUCAGUGCAUACUACCUCUUUCUUUUGAAAUAUAUUUUUCUUUUGUGCAUGUCUUGCAUGAAUGAGUUGGUGGGUUUCGCUGCGAAUACAUUUUUGGAUGUUAAGAAAAUAAACAUUUAUUCUUUUAACUUAAA